UAGGCUGCAACUCGCCUACACGAAGCUGGAAUCGCUAGUAAUCGCGUAUCAGCACGCCGCGGUGAAUACGUUCCCGGGCCUUGUACACACCGCCCGUCACACCAUGAGAGUCUGUAACACCCAAAGCCGGUGGGAUAACCUUUAUAGGAGUCAGCCGUCUAAGGUAGGACAGAUGAUUAGGGUGAAGUCGUAACAAGGUACC
rnacentral:rRNA from 1 species